CCCUACAGGAUCAGAUGUGGAGAGCCGAUCAGAGCCACGAUCCAGAAGACCUGUGACAGGAAGUGAAGACACACAGAAAGUUUAUUCAUCACGGGGCGAGUUCGAGACGUCCAGAGGAGCGUGGAGGCAUUUUGGAAAAUACAGAAGAAGACUGCAGCUGAUGAGAGACUUCCUGUUAGCUCUCCUCAAUAUGAAAUGAACAA